rnacentral:rRNA from 1 species
GAUGAACGCUGGCGGCGUGCCUAAUACAUGCAAGUCGAGCGAACGGACGAGAAGCUUGCUUCUCUGAUGUUAGCGGCGGACGGGUGAGUAACACGUGGAUGACCUACCUAUAAGACUGGGAUAACUUCGGGAAACCGGAGCUAAUACCGGAUAAUAUUUUGAACCGCAUGGUUCAAAAGUGAAAGACGGUCUUGCUGUCACUUAUAGAUGGAUCCGCGCCGCAUUAGCUAGUUGGUAAGGUAACGGCUUACCAAGGCAACGAUGCAUAGCCGACCUGAGAGGGUGAUCGGCCACACUGGAACUGAGACACGGUCCAGACUCCUACGGGAGGCAGCAGUAGGGAAUCUUCCGCAAUGGGCGAAAGCCUGACGGAGCAACGCCGCGUGAGUGAUGAAGGUCUUCGGAUCGUAAAACUCUGUUAUUAGGGAAGAACAUAUGUGUAAGUAACUGUGCACAUCUUGACGGUACCUAAUCAGAAAGCCACGGCUAACUACGUG